GACGAACGCUGGCGGCGUGCUUAACACAUGCAAGUCGAACGAAGUGGCGAACGGGUGAGUAACGCGUAAUCAACCUGCCCUUCAGAGGGGGAUAACAGUUGGAAACGACUGCUAAUACCGCAUACUGAAGGAGGUGAUUGCUGCGGAUUAGAUAGUUGGAGGGGUAACGGCCCACCAAGGCGAUGAUCAGUUGCCGGUCUUAGAUGUGGAACGGCCACAUUGGGACUGAGACACGGCCCAGACGCCUACGGGAGGCAGCAGUGGGGAAUCCUCCGUAAUGGACGAAAGUCUGACUGAGCAACGCCGCGUGAGUGAUGACGGCCUUCGGGUUGUAAAGCUCUGUUAAUCGGGACGCGGUACCGGAAUAGAAAGCCACGGCUAACUACGUGCCAGCAGCCGCGGUAAUUC
rnacentral:rRNA from 1 species